AAAGAGAGAGAGAGAAUCCCAUUUGAAUCAGAGCUGCCCUUUAUGUGCUCAAAACAAUCCAAAGAAAGAAAAGCAACCUGCUUCACAGGGAAUCCAACAUAUGGGGACCCACCCUUUUGAUGACUGGUAAAUUGAUUGCCUAAAACGACUGGAAACUUUAAAUACUUGCUUGUAUUAGAUACCUUUUCAAGCUGAGUAGAGGCUUAUCAUACCCAGGUGAAGAGAGCAUCUGAAGUUACUAGAAUCCUUCUGAAGAAACUCAUUCUGAGGUAUGGGCUCCCUUCCUCCAUACAAAGUGAUAAUGGAACCUCUUUAUAUCAGAGAUAAUCCAGCAAGUAAGCAAAGCCCCACAUCUAGAAUGGAAAUUACAUGCAUCCUGGAAUUGAUGCAGGAAACCCACAUAAAGUGGGAUAAGCUGUUGCCGCUUAUCCUCCUCUGAUAAAAGCAGCCCCUAGAAGCAGGCUCAAGUUAAGCCCCUAAGAAAUAGUUUAUGAGAGACCCUUCCUAACACCCUGAGGUAAGUAUGAUAAUAAAACCAUGAGUAAGGAAAGCAAGUAAAGCAAUAUGUCAAACAAGUGGGUUAGAUAUUAACCACUAUACAUGAGUUUGCCUCUAUCAGGUUUCCAUCUUAGUUGUAAGCACCCUUCCACCCCUUUGAACCUGGAGAAUGGGUAUCACUUAGAGCCUGGAGAGAACAAGGACCUGAACAACAACCGGCAGAGAAGUGGAAGGGACCCUAUGAAGUGCCUCUAGCAACUCACACCUCAUUGAAAUUUUCAGGAGUAAAACCUUGGGUCAAUCAUACCAGAGUAAAGAGGUGUCCCAUGGAAAAAGAAGACUCAACCCCCUCAGUGGAUGGGCCAGUCUUUAGGCAAUCUAAAUUAUCUAUUUAAGAAGAAGGAAAAAUGAAAAUGUUGAUAUUUUUGCUAACUUUUCUUUGGUUAUUUGUUCUGUCUCUAGGAUGGAAAGACAACUCCUUAGUGAGGAUUUCCUGGGAUAUCACCUCUUCUGCUGAUCUGUCUCACUGCUGGGUUUGUCAUCCUAAAUCUCAUUCAGUGCAAGCAUUCCUGUAUAUAAUUUCUGAAUUUGCAGAAGCCAGUUUCUUGGAUCACCUACAGGGUGCAACUAACAGCUCCAUACUCAAGAGAGCACUUUUCGUAAUGUUUUCAGCGCCAGUUGCUUUUACUGCAGCUUGAACUCACCCGGAGGUGGGAACCAAUCACAGUGCUUGGAAAUUAAAUGUAACAAUUCCUCGAGAUUUUUACUUUUUGGCAACUAAUUUACCACUCUUUAAUAAGCUCUCAACAAUUCCACAUACUCAGAAAAGAUAGUCUUCCUCAUUAUUUUAAUCCGGACAGAAUAAUAAUUUACUUUGCCCUGGAGAUGUUCACUUACCUCUCUUCAGGUUGUGGUUCCCAGUGGACGUUGCAUUACAUUACAUCCAGCCUGGAGAUUGGGUACUGCUUGAGACCUGGAAAAAAUCAACAUCCUGAUAACCAACUAAAGCCCCAACGGAAGGGGCCCUAUGAAGUCUUGCUGGUGACUCAUUCCUCUGUGGGAGUCGAGCCUUGGAUUUGUUAUAGCGGAAUGAAACUAGCUCCACCUGAUUCCAAGCCCAGUGAGAAAGAUCAAGAAGAUACAUUUGGCUCUCACGAGUGGACAAACCCUACAUUCUCGUGGACCAACUGACCCAACCAGACCAGUGGCCCAUACCAAGGAACUUACUCAACUGGUCUUGUGACCCCCACCGAGGAACCGACUCAGCGCAAGAAGACAAUUUCUACAACCUCUUGAUUUCACCCCCAACCCAACCCAUCAGCAGUAUUGCUUCCUUAGCCCUCUGCCCGCCAAACCAUCCUUAAAAACCCCCUAGCCUCCAAAUUCUUAGGGAGACAGAUUUGAGAGAUGUCUUCUGCCUCUUUGCUCAGGUGCUCAUGCUUCUGGAAAAUCCCAGGAUGGUACAGAAAAAACAUCCACCUCCCCAACUGAGAUGGUGCUGAGAGACCAAAGAAAUUACCCCAACCAAUCCAGUUUGGCAAGUUAGAUGAGUUUAUUAGAGGUUAUUUACACAGGGCUCUCAUUCCUAGUCAAGAUAGGAAUCCUCCAGUCACUCACUCCUGAGCGGUAGCAGGAGUUCUUCAGAGUAAGAUCUGCACUACCUGCCUGUUUGUGGAGCCUUAAAUAUUUUUCUGGCAAGUGUUGCAGAGCUCUCUCUCUCUGUGUAUCAGCUUCCUUCUGUGCAGCAGGCAAUAGAACCUGGUUGGGAGGUAACCCUCAUGACUCUUGGGGGCUCCAUGAGGAAGACAAAGUACCCCCUUCUCCUCAAAAAGGGGUUAGAAGUGCUUUUUCCUGUGUUCCUCAAGGGCCUCAGGGCCACCAGCAGUCUCCUUCAGGUCCCUACAUUGCCAGAUCUGUCAAAAGACAAAAUUACAACAAAUUUAAAGAUCUCAGUUGGCUUUAUUCAUGAUUCUAGAAUCAGGCAACACUUCACUCCAUACAACAGAACAACUGUCCAGUGAGCUGAGCAUAAGAGUUUGGCUUUAUAGACAGAGAAGGGCUGAAGAAAUCGGAAGCAAAGAGCAAAGAGUGUAUUAGUUGUCUAAAAAAGUUACUUUUCUAAGGUGGGGACAGGGAGACAAAGCAGUAGAAAAGUAACUGAUUAGUUAACAUCAGGUUACCUCAGGCUAUCUUUUUUGCAUAAGGAUUAAAGCAGAGGGAACUUCAUUACACCGAUUGAAGAUUUAAACUGGCCUGUUUGGGAAACUGGCUGUUAUCUCUCUCUCCUGAUUUGUCAGUCAGGUCAGGUAAUAAUUUAGUUUCAGUUUGGUGAAGUGGAACUUUAGCUUGGGUGACUCCGGUUUGAUUUUUAGUCUAGUCUGAAGGGGACUAGUGCAGAAGCUUUGUCCAAAACAAUGGCCUCCUAGGUUUUACGUAACAGGACUGAUAUCUUCCAUUACCUACCUCGAAUACAUUUUGAAACUUAAUGGUGUAUCUCAAAAAAGGUGUCAUGAAACAUUUCAGAUGUACAAAAGCUAUAAAGUAUCAUAGUAUUACAUAUAGAAUUAUAAGGAACACUCAUGUACCCAACACAACUCAGCUUAAGAAAUAAAAUAUCACCAGUGUAGCUCAAGCCCUCUGUGUAAUGAAGCUCUUCCCAACCACAUCCCCUCCUGUCCACUCCCACAAGCUCCCAUAACUUAUCCUGAACAUUGUGCAGGAUUUUGUCAUUCUUAGGUUUUCACACUCUUCAAACAAAUUAUUUUGCAGCUUUUAGAGUUUUUUUUUUUUUUGAGACAGAAUCUCACUCUGUU